rnacentral:rRNA from 1 species
UACAGAGGGUGCGAGCGUUAAUCGGAAUUACUGGGCGUAAAGCGCGUGUAGGCGCUUCGCAAGUCGGAUGUGAAAGCCCCUGGGCUCAACCCAGGAAGUGCAUUCGAAACUGCAGAGCUGGAGUCCUGGAGAGGAAGGCGGAAUUCUCGGUGUAGAGGUGAAAUUCGUAGAUAUCGAGAGGAACACCGGUGGCGAAGGCGGCCUUCUGGACAGUGACUGACGCUGAGACGCGAAAGCGUGGGGAGCAAACAGG